UACGUAUGGAGCAAGCGUUAUCCGGAUUUACUGGGUGUAAAGAGUGCGUAGGUGGCAGUGCAAGUCAGAUGUGAAAGGCCGGGGCUCAACCCCGGAGCUGCAUUUGAAACUGCUCGGCUAGAGUACAGGAGAGGCAGGCGGAAUUCCUAGUGUAGCGGUGAAAUGCGUAGAUAUUAGGAGGAACACCAGUGGCGAAGGCGGCCUGCUGGACUGUUACUGACACUGAGGCACGAAAGCGUGGGGAGCAAACAGG
rnacentral:rRNA from 1 species